rnacentral:rRNA from 1 species
UUGGAGAGUUUGAUCCUGGCUCAGGACGAACGCUGGCGGCGUGCUUAACACAUGCAAGUCGAACGAGAGCGUGGAAGCUUGCUUCUAUCAAUCUUAGUGGCGAACGGGUGAGUAACGCGUAAUCAACCUGCCCUUCAGAGGGGGACAACAGUUGGAAACGACUGCUAAUACCGAAUACGUUCCGAAAGUCGCAUGACUGUCGGAAGAAAGGAUGGCCUCUAUUUAUAAGCUAUCACUGAAGGAGGGGAUUGCGUCUGAUUAGCUAGUUGGAGGGGUAACGGCCCACCAAGGCGAUGAUCAGUAGCCGGUCUGAGAGGAUGAACGGCCACAUUGGAACUGAGACA